CUUAGCAAUGUUUUCACCUUGUAACCUGAUUUGUUCAGAUCUCAGAAGCUAAGCAAGGCUGGGAAUGGUCAGUACUGGAGUGGAAGACCUCCAAGGAAAGCCAGGUUACUGCUGUAA
rnacentral:rRNA from 1 species